rnacentral:rRNA from 1 species
UACGGAGGAUGCAAGCGUUAUCCGGAUUUAUUGGGUUUAAAGGGUGCGUAGGCGGAAACUUAAGUCAGUGGUGAAAUCCUGCAGCUCAACUGUAGCACUGCCAUUGAUACUGAGAUUCUUGAGUACGAUUGAGGUAGGCGGAAUGUGUAAUGUAGCGGUGAAAUGCUUAGAUAUUACACAGAACACCAAUUGCGUAGGCAGCUUACUAAGUCGCAACUGACGCUGAGGCACGAAAGCGUGGGGAUCGAACAGG